AGAUAACGCUGCAACUUUUUAGUUUUCCAUUUGGAUAUUUAUCUUGAUGUUACCAAGAGAACCACUAUAAAUUUACCAGUUUAAAUUUAAAUACUUUAAAUUCAAGUUUACAAUGAAUUACCGGCAAAAGGAAAUUUCGUUUGGACUAUAUUCUAAGCAAUGGAAAGCGGUUUAUUAUUGAAUGAUGUGUCAAAUUUUUGGAUUUUUAAUAAUCAAAAUUAUUAUGUGUUCAAUUUUAGAAUUAAACUUUCUGGGAGGCCAA